rfam:Rhabditophanes sp. KR3021 genome assembly, scaffold: RSKR_scaffold0000006
GCACGGAUGGCCGAGCGGUCUAAGGCGCCAGACUCAAGAAUAUUCAUUCUUCUACACAGUGUGUAGCUGGAGUUUUCUGGUCUCAUUAUUGAGGCGUGGGUUCGAACCCCACUUCGUGCA